rnacentral:rRNA from 1 species
UUGGAGGGCAAGUCUGGUGCCAGCAGCCGCGGUAAUUCCAGCUCCAAUAGCGUAUAUUAAAGUUGUUGCAGUUAAAAAGCUCGUAGUUGAAUUUCGGGAUCAAUUUAUUGGUCGUGCCAACGGUACGCACUGGUACAAUUGGUUUCUCCCUUCUGACGAAGCAUGAUGUCAUUAAUUUGAUGUCGUGGGGAAUCAGGACCGUUACUUUGAAAAAAUUAGAGUGUUUAAAGCAGGCUUUGGCUUGAAUACAUUAGCAUGGAAUAAUGAAAUAGGACGUUUGAUCUUAUUUCGUUGGUUUCUAAGAUCGACGUAAUGAUUAAUAGGGAUAGUUGGGGGCAUUAGUAUUCAAUUGUCAGAGGUGAAAUUCUUGGAUUUAUUGAAGACUAACUACUGCGAAAGCAUUUGCCAAGGAUGUUUUCAUUAAUCAAGAACGAAAGUUAGGGGAUCGAAGACGAUCAGAUACCGUCGUAGUCUUAACCAUAAACUAUGCCGACUAGGGAUCGGAUGAUGUUAAUUUUUUAAUGACUCAUUCGGCGCCUUACGGGAAAC